CACAACUUCUCUGUGCUCUGUGGAAACUUAUGAAACCUGGUGGUGUACUCAGGAGCCAGGAUGAAAACCAGCAGCGUGGACCCAAGUGUGGCCAGAGGACCUAGUGAAUGAUGAGACCACUCUGAAUGCUUCCUGGAGUUGGAUUUCUGUCACCUGCUACUCAGAGGGAGGAGAUGAUUACAGAAUUUCCGUUCUGCCAGGAUAUAAGGGAGAUCCAGUCUUUGAAGCCAGCAGAUAAUUUAAUUUCCAAUGGAGGAAAAAAAAAUUUAAAAGCAGCCACAAAACCACAACCCGAAGCCACAGAAUCAUCUCGAGUUCUGUGGAAGCAUAAUGCUUAGAGACUGCAUUGCACUGUGGGCUUGGGAUAACUGCAAGAUUUGAGGGACUUUGCACAGCUUUGGCAAUUAAGGAAAAUGGAGUAACUGCCAAGGUGGUGUGGGACCAGUAUAAGGGAAAUGGUAAGUCUCUCUCUUCUUACGAAUGAACAGCUCACACCUCUUACUGAGAUGUCACACACGAUGCUUCCAGGGAAGACAGGGCAGGUUGACAUGGUCAGAGUCUCCCCCAUCUCGUGCCACUGUGACAGCUCUUGCGGAAGAAACUUGAAGCCACAUGUCUACAGCAGUGUCCUGGCAGACAGGAAUAAAUGGACACACUUUCCAAGGUCACGAGAAAGAAUUAUCCUUGACCUUAUGAGGCAGAAUCCAUGCUUCAAAGUGGAGAUCUAGAGUUCCAAGCAAGACAUCUUCCCAAGACUUUCUAAAAUGGUGGCCCAUUAAAGCAACGAUACUGUUGUAAGCAAGAGAGAUGGCUUCAGCGGUGAAGGUCACUGGCUGUUCUUGUAGAGGACUAGGGUUCUGUUCCCAGCAUGCGCAGGGUGACUCACGACUGUCUGUGGCUUCAGUUCUAAAAGAUCUGAUGACAUCUUGUGGCUUCUGAACACAUAAGGUGCACAUAACUUCAUUGGCAGAAGCCUACCAGGGACCAUUGUGACUUCCAGAACACUGUAUAUGCCAAUCAAGUCUUCUGGAAUCAAGCCACUUUCCUGGCUUUCAGGGACUUCAGAAAACUCUCUUCCAUCUGUUGGGAUUAGCUUUAACUGUCAACUUGACACAGCCUAGACUUCACCUAAGGUCCGGCCUAUUGGAAAGUCUGUGGGAGAUUGCCUUGUUAAUUGACUUAGGAGGUUCAAUCCACUGUGGGUGACACCAUUCCCUAGACAGGUGGUCCCACUCUGUAGAAGCAAGCAAGUUGAGUGUAAGCCUAUGAGAGAGGCAGCAAGCAGCAUCUUGCUACACUUCCAUAACCAACUGAGUUCCUGGUUGGAGGUGAUGCCCUUGGACUCCUUCCCUGACAUGUUCUGAGAUUGUACGCUGAAAUAAACUCUUUCCUUCCCUAAGUUGCUUUUGGUGAGAUGCCUUUUAUCACAGCAUCAGAAAGGAAAUUAGAAUACCAUCUUUACUGAAAGCCUUCCUUCAAAGUUCUGACAGAGGAUGCAAUCUGGAGGUCCAGUCGCGGGGAGGAAACAGCUGACACUAGAUCUGCCUGCUCCAUCUGUACCUGGGCCCCAGAAAUGCAAUUAGUAUGUAAAACAGCGGCUCUCCUGGAAAUGACUGCUCGGGGGCUGAGCUCAGAUGAGAAGAUUUACAACAGAGAAAAGCUGUGUGAAGCCAGUGGAUGUGGAUGUGCAAAAAAAAAAAAAAACGUGGCAAAAAUCACUAAGGGCCCUAGAGGGCGACUGAGAAUUAGAAACAGGAUUUGAGCUACAGGUGAUGUUCUGUCUUUGAAGGUGGAGUCUUUAAGCUUAGCGUCUCGUACACGCUUUCUGCUCUCCCAAAUGCUACCCAACAUGUGUUUUCAAUUGAACUUUGAAACUAACAUUCUAUGUUUUUGGAGAAAACGUAGAAGUCAUUAUGAAACUAAUAAUAGCAUCGAAGGUGCUGUUCAUUCAGACAGUGUCCCAGAGUUGGGGACAUAAAAAAAUGUCAUUCCUAAGGAGCCGAAAUCAGAAACAUACAGGACUAUGAAGAUUUUUUUUUCUCUCGAGUCUCAACUCUACGGAGAGGCAUACCAAACUUCACAGAAUGGAACUGGGACUGAUCCACCAACAUGUAAUAGCAGUUCCUAGGCAACUGUGUGGAGUCUCCUGUCAUUACUCCUUGCUUAGAAAGGCCUGUUAAAAUAUUCCCAUCUAAAGCCUGGCGCUUUGUAAGAGAUGAGGAAUCUGCACUCAAAAUGAAAAACCUGAAGCUCUAUUAAGAAGUGAGAUAAAUUUGGGGUCUCCAUAUACCUUUGUUAUAAAAAUAUGUAUUGAUUUAAAACAUGAUUUAGAAGACCUCACUGCAAGGGAGCCUGGAAGAAGUCAUCUUGAUCAAGUAGCCAGAGAAACAACUCUUUAAGGGGAUUGCUUAUCUGUCGUUAAACUUUUUUCCAUUGUGUGACAAAAUACCUCACAAAAACUCCUCAAGUUUUUGCCUUUUCAACGGAAGAUGCUGUAACUGAAAACUGAAUAACUCCACACUUAUCCACAGGUCACCACC
rnacentral:lncRNA from 1 species